GUCCCUUCGGCGACAUCCGAUAAAAUUGGAAUGCUACGAAGAAGGUCAGCAUGGCCCUCUGCAAGGAUAACACGUACAAAUUGAAAAAUGGUUCAAAGUUUU
rfam:Capsicum annuum cultivar Zunla-1 unplaced genomic scaffold scaffold775, whole genome shotgun sequence